CAGUAGCCACGGUAAGACGGAGGGUGCUAGCGUUGUUCGGAAUCACUGGGCGUAAAGGGCGCGUAGGCGGCCUGUUAAGUCGGAUGUGAAAGCCCGGGGCUCAACCCCGGAACUGCAUCCGAGACUGGCAGGCUUGAGACCGGGAGAGGAGGGUGGAAUAUCCAGUGUAGAGGUGAAAUUCGUAGAUAUUGGAUGGAACACCGGUGGCGAAAGCGGCUCUCUGGCCCGGAUCUGACGCUGAAGCGCGAAAGCGUGGGGAGCAAACAGGAUUAGAUACCCGCGUAGUCCCUGUCUCUUAUAC
rnacentral:rRNA from 1 species